CGGCCACCUGCUGGCUAGCUUGACCAAAAAUAAACCCGGCGCCGACGACGACGCCACAAUGAUGGCCGGCCGGCGAAGCGCCCACGUCGACGCCGCCGUCAUCGCCGCCGCCGCCCUCCUCCUCCUCGCCGCGACGGCGGCGGAGGGCGCCGUGUCCAGCUGGGAGUCCAACUCCGACGAGGACUACCACAUCUUCGUGGACAACCGCAUGUCGGACAACAUGCACCUGAGCUGCUACGCCGUGCAGGGCGGCGGCCGGAGCGAGUUCUACCACAGCUUCCGCGCCGACCCCGGGAGGGAGGUGCAGCUGCCGUACCUGCAGCCGGCGCCCAACGCCCGCCUCGUCUGCAAGUGGGCGUGCGCGGGGAACUACCUGAAGGGCGUCACCCUCUUCAGCUCGUCGUGGCGGGAGGCCACCUCCGGCGAGUGCCGCCGCCGCGGCGGCGGCUGCAACGUGGUGUUCGACGGGCACGAGAUGUUCGUCGACGGCCGCUCGGGCGGCGGCGGGAGGAGGCUGCUCGGCGACCUGCCGCAGCACGAGUGCCAGAAGAUGCUGCUGGUGUUCAACCGCCGCUGCUGGUUCAAGUCGCACCGCCACCCCUACGUCGGCCGCGCCAUGAACGGCCUCACCGACUACCUCAUGGCGUAGCACCCAUGCAUGCACACACAAUUACGCCCUCCGUUUCAUAUCAAACUAGCCAUCUUAACUUUGAUCAAAUUUAUGAAAAAACGUAGCAACAUUUUUCAUAUCAAAAUAUAUUUACGGUUAGAUUUAACAAAACUAAUUUGAUGUUUUAGAUGUUGCUAUUGUUUUCUAUAAACUCAAUAAAAAAUUUUAAAAAAUUAAUUAGGAAAAAGAUCAAGCAUCUUAUAUAAUAUGAAACGGAGGGAGUAACUAAUACGUAUACGUGUAUUCUUACACAUGUACGUACGUAUAUAUGGCAGCGGACGGUUUCGAUGAUGUGUAUGUAUGUUGAUUGAUUCCUGUCAAAUUAAUUUCUAGAGGAUUAAGCCUUAGAAGGUGAUCACGGUCGAUGUACUUUGAAUUUUGACGAAUUAAUUAAUUUAAAUUGUAAAGGUGGUGAAAUUUUUUG
rnacentral:lncRNA from 1 species